ACUCAGUGAGUGCAAGAGGUUUGUUUGAAACAGACCGCAAUGGAGAGAUUAGCGCCCGGGGACAGCAGGCUCCUUCCAGCAGCACAUCGGGAUGGGAGCCUGGGACAUAGAGGGGGCUCCGAGACCGGGACUGGUUCGGGGCAAAUGAUUUAUGGACCAAGAUAGUGUAAUAUUUCCUCAGUACAAAGCCAAGUGUGACCAGCUGCUUCUAACAACCAGCAGGGGAUGUAUCUUCUCUCUUCCUCCAGACAAUUACAUGAAGGAGCAAGACAAUGUAACAUUCUCUUGGUAUGAAACCAAGUGUGAUCAGUUCCUUCUAACAAACAGCAGGGAAUUAGAAGACUAUUUGCAAUGAGGAGACUUAAAACCAGGCAUCACUUCCCAACCUGACCAAGCUGCCAAGUCUAUUGCCACCUGAAUAUCAUUGGGUUUGAAGUAAAAAAGCACCGUUCACCGUGGGGGAGAAACCAUAUGUGUGCUGUACAUGUGGACAAGUCUUCAGCAGAUCACUGCCUGUCACGAUAUAAAUACAGCCACACUGGGGAAAGGCCAUUUAUCUGUUCCAAGGGUGGGAAAGGAUUCACUCGAUCAUCCACCUUGCUGAAACCUGAGCAAAUUCACACAGAGAACAGACCUUGAAAUGCUCAGAAUGUGCGAGAUGUUUUAAAAACUCUGGGGGACUGAUAUCCCAACAACAUCCUCACAGUGACAAGAGACCUUUCAUGUGCUCUCACUGUGGGUGUGGGUUCAAGCCAUCAUCCAACCUCAUUAAACACCAGCAGAUCCACACGGGGAAGAGACCAUUCACCUGCUCACACGACUGGAAAAGAUUUUCUCAUAAAUCCAACCAGUUAAAACACCAGCGAUGUCUCGGAAGGUAGAGGCUGUUCUGCUGUACUUACUGUGGGAAGAGAUUCAAGCUACUGAAACACCAGUGUAUUUGUGAGAAAUGACAGUAACUGGUUUUUACUGUGAACAUCUCCCUGCUUCAUGGUCUCAGCCAGAAGAUUUCGUUUCAAUUCCCACCUGAUAUGGAGCUAUGUCAAAGAAUUUAAUUACUUUUGUAAUUGAUAACUGAAUGAUAGCCACUGGGGCAGGUUUCUACUGAAGUUAAUGAACUCCAUCUCAGUUAAAGGGAUGACUGUUCUGGAUGACAGUGAAAUAAAUGCACUGUGUUAAACACA